rnacentral:rRNA from 1 species
AAUGAACGCUGGCGGCGUGCUUAACACAUGCAAGUCGUACGAGAACUCUUUAGCUUGCUAAAGAUAGUAAAGUGGCGCACGGGUGAGUAACGCGUGGGUAAUCUGCCUUCGAAUCGGGGAUAACAUUGCGAAAGCGAUGCUAAUACCGGAUAAUAUCCCAAAAGCUUCGGAUUUUGAGAUCAAAAGUGGCCUCUACAUGUAAGCUUCUGUUUGAAGAUGAGCCCGCGUACCAUUAGCUUGUUGGUAGGGUAAUGGCCUACCAAGGCAACGAUGGUUAGCUGGUCUGAGAGGAUGAUCAGCCACACUGGAACUGGAACACGGUCCAG